GUUAUUUAUAAAAAUGGAAAAAAAGUGGAAGGUGUACCACAGAAUAAACUUCGUGGCGUAUAUGGGGCACUUUCCACCUAUAUAAAGCUCGUCAUUAAUACCGCUAAUUAAAAUCCGUCUUGGAAAGAAAACCUGAAACAUAUCUGUUUUCAUCAUGAAAUUCGUCUUCGCUAUCUUCAUGUUAAUUGCGAUGAUCGCAAUGGGUGCUAAUGGCCAAUGCAGGGAUUGGCCGUUUCAGUGUGCCUGGAAUAGUCAAUGCUGCUCAAACUUAUGCUUCAGGGGAAGAUGUGCCACAAGAAUAAAUUAAUCCAAUUAUAUCAAUUAUAUGGUUCCUGCAUUUAUGAAAAUUACCCAAAAAUGUCUAAUUACGUUCAACAUGUAUUUGUCAUGAUUACAAUAUAACAUCAAUACAUCGAUAA